AUAGACAGGGUUAUAGACAGGGUUAUAGACAGGGUUAUAGACAGGGGUACACAGGGAUAUAGACAGGGUUAUAGACAGGGUUAUAGACAGGGGUACACAGGGUUAUAGACAGGGUUAUAGACAGGGGUAGACAGGGUUAUAGACAGGGGAUAGACAGGGUUAUAGACAGGGGUAGACAGGGUUAUAGACAGGGUUAUAGACAGGGGUAGACAGGGUUAUAGACAGGGGAUAGACAGGUUUAUAGACAGGGGAUAGACAGGGUUAUAGACAGGGCAUAGACAGGGAUAGACAGGGAAUAGACAGGGGAUAGACAGGGGAUAGACAGGGUUAUAGACAGGGAUAGACAGGGAUAGACAGGGAAUAGACAGGGGAUAGACAGGGGAUAGACAGGGUUAUAGAUAGGGGAUAGACAGGGAUAGACAGAUGGUAGACAGGGGAUAGACAGGGGACAGACAGUGGAUAGACAGGGAUAGACAGGGGAUAGACAGGGGAUAGACAGGGUUAUAGACAGGGUUAUAGACAGGGGGAUAGACAGGGUUAUAGACAGGGUUAUAGACAGGGAUAGACAGGG
ensembl:lncRNA